rnacentral:rRNA from 1 species
CCUACGGGUGGCUGCAGUGAGGAAUAUUGGGCAAUGCCCGAAAGGGUGACCCAGCAACGCCGCGUGGAGGAUGAAUGCCGUAAGGUUGUAAACUCCUGUUAGAGGGGAAGAAAAAUCUCGAUCAAAUCGGGAACUGACUGUACCCUCAGAGAAAGCCCCGGCUAACUACGUGCCAGCAGCCGCGGUAAUACGUAGGGGGCAGGCGUUGUCGGGAUUCACGGGGUGUAAAGGGCGCUCAGACGUCUGAGCAGAAAUCCUACAGCUUAACUGUAGAACUGCCUUUGAGACUGCUAAUCUUGAGUACGGAAGAGAGAGAUGGAAUUCCAGGUGUAGUGGUGAAAUACGUAGAUAUCUGGAAGAACACCAGUGGCGAAGGCGGUCUCUUGGUCCUAUACUGACGCUAAGGCGCGAAAGCGUGGGGAGCAAACAGGAUUAGAUACCCGAGUAGUC